UAGGGAAUAUUGGUCAAUGGGUGAGAGCCUGAACCAGCCAUGCCGCGUGCAGGAAGAAGGCCUUCUGGGUUGUAAACUGCUUUUGCCAGGGGAUAAAAUAGCUUUGCGAAGCAAAUUGAAGGUACCUGGUGAAUAAGCCACGGCUAACUACGUGCCAGCAGCCGCGGUAAUACGUAGGUGGCAAGCGUUGUCCGGAUUUAUUGGGUUUAAAGGGUGCGUAGGCGGUUCUAUAAGUCAGUGGUGAAAUACUCCGGCUCAACCGGAGAGGUGCCAUUGAUACUGCAGGACUUGAGUACAGACGAGGUAGGCGGAAUUGACGGUGUAGCGGUGAAAUGCUUAGAUAUCGUCAAGAACACCGAUAGCGAAGGCAGCUUACUAGACUGUAACUGACGCUGAGGCACGAAAGUGUGGGGAUCAAACAGGAUUAGAUACCCUCGUAGUCCCUGAGCGGGCUGGCAAGGCGCAU
rnacentral:rRNA from 1 species